CUUCUGAGCCUGUAAAAGUCGGAGGAAACCAAACUCAGCAGCUUGACCCUGCGGAAUAGUUGGGACAAUUUCCAACAUUUAGACGAGGAUGAUGACGCUCUAUAAGCUGCACAUUGAAUUCACUGGAUAAGGAAAAAUCAAAGACAGUGAAGCUUACUGCUAAACCUUGGCCUGUGGAGUAGAUACCUGUUUUCUGGAACGACCAAAGGACUGACGUUUGACGACAUUUUUAUCCACCCUUGACCCGCAAAACAGCAAAAACGCCAGCGUGAAACAGAUGUCCAAGCGACCUACCUCCAUUAGCCAGAGCUCCUUUGGGGUAUAACUCAGUGCUGCUUCAGCCCCUGCCCAGCCUCUGGACAUCAGGCCGAGCCUUCCCCAUCCUUCUACCCAGGCACGGAGCUCGCAAAGCGGACUCAGACACUGUGACGGCAGGGCAACCAGCCAAGAGUGGUUCUAUCUCCAUAUAAUUCCUGCUGGAGGUGGGGAAGUGCGAGCUGGACUCUGCCCAUCCCUCUCCUAGUCCCUGGAUGAACAGCGAUCUUUGAAUGAGGCUGAUGGAUUUGACUAUUACUUCCAAAACAAGGGACAAGGAAGUCUCCAUGAAAUUCAGGUACACUCUAUGGAGAGUCAGCAAACCCACUAAUAAGCUACACACGAUAGAUACACACAAUAAAAUAAUUCAAAAAGCUGUGACUCAUGGUUCAUGUGGAGGGAUCAGCAGUUAUUAUUAGUUGUGUUAAAGAACACCUCCACAUUGUCCCUGAAUGAGCUUAAUAGUUUUAUGCUCACAACAAUUUUGAGGCCCACAACUCAAAUCCAGCGACCCCAGUGUUGUGUUCAAGUGGCAAAAUCAAUAUGUAGGGGUCUGAAGUUGAGCUAAGACUUUUAAAAGGAUGAUGCCACACAAGUGACAUUUUUUAACCUGUCCCUAUUGCAGUAUGGUUCCACUAUGUUAGAAAAGAAUGACUUUUGUAACUGUAUCAAAGAAAAUUGACUGUAUUUUGCCUUAAUGGUUACUACCCCUGUUGCUCUGACCUCCGUUAUUAUUAAGUGCCGGGGAAGACUGGUCAUGCCAUUCAUAAAGUGUAAUAUUCCUGCUAUGCUUGACCCCUUCCGGUUUGCCUACUGUUCCAGUAGGUCUGUCGAUGAUGCCGUCUCACUUGCUCUGCAAACUGCUUUAGAACACCUUGAAAAUAACGAUACCAUGUCAGGAGGUUGUUUAUUUAAUGUAGCUCUGCUUUUAAUACCAUUGUGACAUCUAAAGUGGUGUUAAAUCUCUUGGUCUGGGUAAUUCCAUCUGUAAAUGGCUAUUUGACUAUUUGAUAGGCAGACCUCAGACUGUGACAAUAAGGAGCACACUCAUUUACACUGUUUGUUAUGACUAGUUUGUACCAGGGCUGCUCUCUCAGUCCCUUAGUGUACAUUUUGUUCACUCAUUGUUGUGAUGGCAAACAUAAUUGUAACAGUAUUGCAAAAUGUGUAGAUGACAGCACAGUGAUUUCCCGAUGACAAACUGUGACAAGAAUGCCUAGAGGAAGUAGGUGGAGGAUCCAAAUGGUCUCAUAACAGAAACCUCUCUCUAAAUGUCAGUAAGACAAAGCAAAUCACUGCUGACUUGAGGAAAAUCAGAGGCAAUUACAAUUUUAUUAACAUUAAUGUGUCAUCUGUAGAAAUCGUGGACAAUUUCCCAUUCCUUGCAAUAAAUAUCACAUGUACUUUAUGUGAGGUGCUCACAUAGAUUCUCAGCACCAGAUGCAUCCUCCACAUAGUACAGAGACUGUAUAUUCUAAGCACUUCAAAAAAUUUAGUAUGGGAACCGAUAGUCUGGUGAACUUUUAUCACUGCAUGACUGAGAGCUUCGUGACAGGGUGCAUAACAGUGUGGUUUGGCAAUCUGACUGCCAAGGACUGCAAAUUGCUGCAAAGGACUGUGAAAGACAGCGUCAAAAAUCACUGGCACAGAACUACUGCAACUCUAUGACAUCUAUACCACCCGCUGCAAAAGGAAAGCCCAAAAUAUCAUCAAGGAUAUCAGUCACCCGGCCCAUGCACUAUUCUCCCUCUUGCCAUCUGGAAAAUGCUACCGGAGCAUCAAAUCACACUUCACACAUCAGAAGGAUGAACAGCAUGCACACACACACACACACACACACACACGCAUAGCAUGAUAAUAGUGCAUACAUUGAAGAAUUUCAAUUUCAAGAAUCUAAUCUCAUAAAAAUUGUAUUUCAAUCUUGUAACAAAUUUUACUCUAAUACAGAUUACAAUAAAACUGAACUGAACCUAAUAUCACCAAACUGGAACCUCUCCAUUGGCUGUGUGGCUGGUCCAAGAUCCAAUACACUACCUGCUCUUGGUGUUAGUGUACUGGCAUUUCUGUGACCACGAUUCUGUGCCUUGUGGGCAGAGAGCUCACAAAGUAAUGGCCACAUGCUUCUUUUCUGAGCUGUGUCUUGCUGAGCUAUGGGAACACCUGGUCACUAGUCCCGUGCAUGAUUCCAGAAGUGAACACUUAAUGCUGGCUUAUAAUUAUAAAAAGUGUCAAAAAUGAUGUCAGAAAGACAGCAAAAUGUGUCACCUGACAGUGUAUUGUGCCCAUCCAAAAUUUGUAAUGUUGCAGAUGUCAUCAUCAAUUGCCUCACAUUUUCAUUGGCUGGAUGGGCCGAGAGUUCCCUCAUUGCCAUGGAAACAGCUGUGCGACUGAUUAUUUUGUGGUGAUGGUUGAGAGGAAUAAAAAUG